CGCCCACAGACUGAUUUAUUAAUUUGCAAUUUUAAAUAAUCAGUUAAAUUAAAGUUUCGAGACUGGUUAGGGCUACACAACCCCAUGGGCCAAUGACUGUAUUUUUGAGCUGCCAUGCUGACUUCGGAAACGGCCACUUUGAUUUCUACACCGCGCCGUUAACCAUCUGGCAGCACUCUCCUAAGAGAGCGUGUUCCAAAAUCUAAGAGAACACAUUUUUUAUGAGAGAAAAACAACCAAAAAGAAUUAUUAUUACUGAAGUUAACUUGAAUUAUGAAU
rnacentral:misc_RNA from 1 species